rnacentral:rRNA from 1 species
CCUACGGGAGGCAGCAGUGGGGGAUAUUGCACAAUGGGGGAAACCCUGAUGCAGCGACGCCGCGUGUGGGAAGACGGUCCUCUGGAUUGUAAACCACUGUCCCCAGGGACGAAGAUGACGGUACCUGGGGAGGAAGCUCCGGCUAACUACGUGCCAGCAGCCGCGGUAAUACGGAGGGAGCAAGCGUUGUCCGGAAUUACUGGGUGUAAAGGGAGCGUAGGCGGGAUGGCAAGUUGGGGGUUAAAUCUACCGGCUAAACUGGUAGUCGCAUUCAAAACUGCUAUUCUUGAGUGAAGUAGAGGCAGGCGGAAUGCGUGGUGUAGCGGUGAAAUGCGUAGAUAUUAGGAGGAACACCAGUGGCGAAGGCGGCCUGCUGGGCUUUUACUGACGCUGAGGCUCGAAAGUGUGGGGAGCAAACAGGAUUAGAUACCCCUGUAGGC